rnacentral:rRNA from 1 species
GACGAACUUUGGCGGCGUGCUUAACACAUGCAAGUCGAACGGAAAGGCCCUGCUUUUGUGGGGUGCUCGAGUGGCGAACGGGUGAGUAACACGUGAGUAACCUGCCCUUGACUUUGGGAUAACUUCAGGAAACUGGGGCUAAUACCGGAUAGGAGCUCCUGCUGCAUGGUGGGGGUUGGAAAGUUUCGGCGGUUGGGGAUGGACUCGCGGCUUAUCAGCUUGUUGGUGGGGUAGUGGCUUACCAAGGCUUUGACGGGUAGCCGGCCUGAGAGGGUGACCGGCCACAUUGGGACUGAGAUACGGCCCAGACUCCUACGGGAGGCAGCAGUGGAGAAUAUUGCACAAUGGGCGGAAGCCUGAUGCAGCAACGCCGCGUGCGGGAUGACGGCCUUCGGGUUGUAAACCGCUUUCGCCUGUGACGAAGCGUGAGUGACGGUAAUGGGUAAAGAAGCACCGGCUAACUACGUGCCAGCAGCCGCGGUGAUACGUAGGGUGCGAGCGUUGUCCGGAUUUAUUGGGCGUAAAGGGCUCGUAGGUGGUUGAUCGCGUCGGAAGUGUAAUCUUGGGGCUUAACCCUGAGCGUGCUUUCGAUACGGGUUGACUUGAGGAAGGUAGGGGAGAAUGGAAUUCCUGGUGGAGCGGUGGAAUGCGCAGAUAUCAGGAGGAACACCAGUGGCGAAGGCGGUUCUCUGGGCCUUUCCUGACGCUGAGGAGCGAAAGCGUGGGGAGCGAACAGGCUUAGAUACCCUGGUAGUCCACGCUGUAAACGGUGGGUACUAGGUGUGGGGUCCAUUCCACGGGUUCCGUGCCGUAGCUAACGCUUUAAGUACCCCGCCUGGGGAGUACGGCCGCAAGGCUAAAACUCAAAGGAAUUGACGGGGCCCCGCACAAGCGGCGGAGCAUGCGGAUUAAUUCGAUGCAACGCGUAGAACCUUACCUGGGUUUGACAUGGAUCGGGAGUGCUCAGAGAUGGGUGUGCCUCUUUUGGGGUCGGUUCACAGGUGGUGCAUGGCUGUCGUCAGCUCGUGUCGUGAGAUGUUGGGUUAAGUCCCGCAACGAGCGCAACCCUUGUUCACUGUUGCCAGCACGUUAUGGUGGGGACUCAGUGGAGACCGCCGGGGUCAACUCGGAGGAAGGUGGGGAUGACGUCAAGUCAUCAUGCCCCUUAUGUCCAGGGCUUCACGCAUGCUACAAUGGCUGGUACAGAGAGUGGCGAGCCUGUGAGGGUGAGCGAAUCUCGGAAAGUCGGUCUCAGUUCGGAUUGGGGUCUGCAACUCGACCUCAUGAAGUCGGAGUCGCUAGUAAUCGCAGAUCAGCAACGCUGCGGUGAAUACGUUCCCGGGGCU